rnacentral:rRNA from 1 species
GUAGUAGCAAAUACUCCAGCGAGGCCCUGGAGGACUGACGUGGAGAAGGGUUUCGUGUGAACAGCCGUUGCACACGAGUCAGUCGAUCCUAAGCCCUAGGAGAAAUCCGAUGUAUGGGAGCCGAUCGACGGCCCCGUCGGGCGAAAGGGAAUCCGGUUCCUAUUCCGGAACCCGGCAGCGGAACCGUUCCAAGUCGGGCCCCUCGCAAGAGAAGCUCGUCGGGGUAACCCAACAGGACCCGGAGACGCCGUCGGGAGAUCGGGGGAGAGUUUUCUUUUCUGCAUGAGCGUUCGAGUUCCCUGGAAUCCUCUAGCAGGGAGAUAGGGUUUGGAACGCGAAGAGCACCGCAGUUGCGGCGGUGUCCCGAUCAUCCCCUCGGACCUUGAAAAUCCGGGAGAGGGCCACGUGGAGGUGUCGCGCCGGUUCGUACCCAUAUCCGCAGCAGGUCUCCAAGGUGAAGAGCCUCUAGUCGAUAGACUAAUGUAGGUAAGGGAAGUCGGCAAAUUGGAUCCGUAACUUC